rnacentral:rRNA from 1 species
GAUGAACGCUGGCGGCGUGCCUAAUACAUGCAAGUCGAGCGAACAGAUGAGGAGCUUGCUCCUCUGACGUUAGCGGCGGACGGGUGAGUAACACGUGGAUAACCUACCUAUAAGACUGGGAUAACUUCGGGAAACCGGAGCUAAUACCGGAUAAUAUAUUGAACCGCAUGGUUCAAUAGUGAAAGACGGUUUUGCUGUCACUUAUAGAUGGAUCCGCGCCGCAUUAGCUAGUUGGUAAGGUAACGGCUUACCAAGGCAACGAUGCGUAGCCGACCUGAGAGGGUUGUCGGCCACACUGGAACUGAGACACGGUCCAGACUCCUACGGGAGGCAGCAGUAGGGAAUCUUCCGCAAUGGGCGAAAGCCUGACGGAGCAACGCCGCGUGAGUGAUGAAGGUCUUCGGAUCGUAAAACUCUGUUAUUAGGGAAGAACAAAUGUGUAAGUAACUAUGCACGUCUUGACGGUACCUAAUCAGAAAGCCACGGCUAACUACGUG